ensembl:lncRNA
UAACCCGUUGUGGGUUGUAUUCAUUCAAACAUCCCAAGCAGUGGUUGUGGGAGACACGGCCGGCCCGAGACCACCACUCGACUGAGUGCACCUUUCUAGCUGUGCUUUUACGUUUAAUUAUAGGAGAUCUAAAGGGAAAGUUUCAAAGACCUAGCUUUAAAAAAACAACAUUCUCUGAUGUUUGGAUAUCACCUGAGGAGGUAGAGACCUGGGCCUGUUUAAACCACCGUUAAUUGGCAUGGUAAAAAUGGUAAAAACAAAAUUGUACAUGAAGAGUAUGAGAUUAUAUUUUGCAAACCCUUGAUCCACGAUAACUUCAAACUCGGGUUUGAUGUUUAAAAGUCAAAGUAGGAGUCAAAUGGAUGUUGUAAUGUGAGCACACCUGUAGUGGUGUUACCCAUCUGGGGGGAAAAUGACAUCAUGCAGGUUUUUUGUUGAGAAGCUGCAGGAAGCUCGGUGGAUAAGGAAAAGCUCCGUGAACAAAGCUCUCAAGUAUUUGAGAGGUAAAAAAAAAAAAGGGUGGUUUAGACAACCAGCCGGCAGUGACAUGUGAAGCAAAAACCAGGGCAUAGAAGAGACGUGUUGGUGGAUAAACGUGCUCAAUGAACAUCAUCUAUCACUGUGAGUUUCUUGGUCAUAAAGCAUCACGUGAAAAGCAUCCGGCGAUAAGUGUUAAAUUCACCCAGUGCGCUCCGGCCUUAAUGACAGAAUAUGAGCUUACAUGUAUUUUCACAUUGCAAUUGGUUGGUUUAUAUUUGUAAAGUAUGUAAAGCAAACAUGUUAAUUAAACAAGGCUUGCACUUUGUAAAGAGUUUUCAAAGAUAAAAAGAGCUUAUUGUCGAUCCGUAAAUUGUUGAAUUCUUUAAAAAUUGUUAAGAAAAUAUGUGAACAUUCGCCAUGUUAGACCAUGUCGUAUCUUUCUGUUGUACAGCACCAUGUUUCACAUGCUUGCUUUCUUUUAAAGACAAAUCAAACGAUCCUGACUUUCAAGUGUAGAACUGUGAUUUUUGUGCCAUAGCAGAACAGUGUGCCAAUUUGGUAAAAGAAGAGUAAAAGUUACAUUGAAAAUGUUCACGUCUGACAAAAACAAUUGCCUUUCAGUGACCAAGAAAUGACUGUUGUGUAUUAAAAUCUGUCAUUUUGAGCAUUUUCUUCUUCUGGUGUGGUAGUGUUGCUGACCAAUUUAAUGUACAUUUUGGUGCAAAUAAGUGAGUUACAUGCAGCUGGACUUUCAUUUGCUUUAAAUAAAAGCUGAAUUGUGUCAAAUCUACGAUAAAUAACAAGUC